rnacentral:lncRNA from 1 species
GACUGCAGAUCCUCUGGUCUCCCAUACUCCUCUUGCCUCAAGCCCUGUCACUCUGCUGCUGGCUGUGGGUGGAAAUUCUGCAGAAGACAGUGGGAGUGGUUGGAAGCCCCUAUUUUUGUGUCAGGCAGGCUAACGGAGCUUCAGUGCGUGCUUGGGAAAAGCCCCAAGAAGUGGAGCCUGUAUCCAUUUUUUAGAAGAAAGCUGGUGGUUUCAGAAAAAUCUCAGGAUUAACAGUUGAGGCCCAUCAUCAAGGUAACUCCACCUGAAAUUCUCUUUUCACUCCGGGAUCCCCAAGACCUGGGGAUUCGCAAGCCUUCUGAUAGCCAACCUUGCUGACCCAAGGUUCCCAGAAGUACUUUCCACCCUGCAGAAUCCUGACGUGAAUAGCUACACUUGAAA